GUGACCAUAUAUGGUAUUGAAAUGCAAUUAAUUUGUAUCCUGCAACUUUGCUGAAUUCAUUUAGUGGCAAAUAGAACAGCCCCUCUCUGGAACAUUGCUGGAUCUAGUGGCACAAGGAAAACGGAGAAUGUGGCAAACCAUUGCUGACUCUGGACAUUUCUGCCUGAGAUUGACACACAACAGUCUCGCCAAUAUUUCACCAGCCGAAAAGAGGUGGUAUAUUUCCUCACUGCCACUGCCCUCCUGUUCUCUUUGUGAACAACGACAAGCAUUUUCCAAGAUGUCUUGCCAGUCUGCAGAUCACCUGUGAUUGAUGACCUUUAUUUUGAUGCGUCAUCUUUUAUGGCCACUGAGAUAUGGUCAUAUUUGAUCAACUUUGAUCAACAGAGGUAAGCUGAGCAGCCCACUGGUGAACAGUCUCAACAAGAGGAACCACCAGAGUGAGGACAUUCUACCCGGUCAAGGGAGAGAAGAUGAAGGAGCACCUGUUAUUCAAGGACCUAACCUGGAAGUUGAUCAACUGGAACUGACUGGAGGUAACCCUAGAUGCUCCUUUUACAACAUGCACUACAGAGCGUAUACCUACUGGAUCAUGAAUUCUUCAAGAGAAAUGUAUGAAAUGUCAUGAGCUUCACAUUCUGGUUCAGAGUCUCC